GAUGAUUUCACGUCACUAAGACGUAAAUCCAAUUCAUUCUAAUCCUGGCAAUAGAAUAGUAGUAUUUCAUCAAACGCAGUUAGAAACGUGGUGUGGUGUCUAGACGUCGUCUGACUACUACACACGCUUACGCCUUUUGAUUACUGACUGUCGACUUGAAGAUGUAUUCGACAUUGACGUCUGACAUCUACAAGCAUACUGUCAUACAAAUAAGGCAGAACAGCGCCGUUUCUGAGCUCGGAAAGGUUGCGACCUGUGGUUCAAAAGAUCCAGAUUUUUUACGACUACAAAAAUACGCGAUUUGAUAUCUUUUGUUCCGAGGCCAACAAAAAAAGUACUUUUUGAGGGAAACCACAAGGAGAUCUAGCAGUCUAUGAAAAGUACAGCAAACGCACAAAGUACUACAACAUCUCUCUACCGAAUGUGAUUCGACAUCUCUUAAAACUGUAAAUAUUUAUACACAGUGUCCAGGUUUGAUGGAAAACCACUCAAGACAAACAAGACAAGAACAACCAUCAAGAACACCCUCAAGAAAUUACUGAAGUGACACCCGUUUCUUUGAUGCAGCUUGACGCGUGGGAUUCUAUGAUAGUAUCGCAUCCCAAAUUUUUAAUUUUAUAUUCUCUCCGUCCCCUUCCACCUCCAGUUAAUGGGAAAAUCGGAACUUUAAAAACACUUUCUCAAGAGUGACCGAUAAGGAGUAGAGGGAAGACUCUUUGGCUUUGUUGCGACGCAUCGUAUUGAAAACGAUCAGGAUUAGCCAUGUUUCUAAUAAUCUGACUCCACAGCGUGUGGGAGGCGAAGAAGAGUGGAAGGUGUAGCAACCUAAAUAGUUACAAGUCACUCGCAACACUAUAAAGAUACAGUAUAAGCACAACAUCGAUAUAAGGUAAAAGACAGAGCGUAAUCUAUCACACUUCUGCUUACAAAGUUUUUUUUUUACGAAAAUCACGAUCUCACGCAUGGAGCAAACCGGAAGAGAUUCGAUUUCCCACAAACAAAAAACCGUUUUUGAGAAUAAUCAUUUGAAUAUGAGUAAAUUUUUCGCAUUUUCCGCUGGCUCGAGAUAUACAACAACUUUUUGGAGCAAAUGACGGACCAUGUAAUUUUGCACAAAAAACGACGGCAUGCGUUAAUAAUAGAUAUGCUGUUUAUUAUAACAUUAAUUAUUUAAGACUUCACUGUCGCAGGAUAAGCAAAAGAUAGUUUUGGAAAGAUUUAUUACUAAUGACUCCUACUUUUUUUUAGUACAAUAUUAAGCAUUGUAAAAGCUUACAUGAAAAAUGGCUUACAUGACCAAUCUAAAUUCAGUAUUUGGACAAUAAACUUCACUGGUACUCUGCUCCGUAAAAAUUUCCAAUAUCAAAUUUGACCCGUUGAAUUUGUCAGGAUUCCUGAGGAAACUUACUGAAGGAAUGUUUAGGCAUGAUUCAUUACGGUGUGUAUUUGUUUCUUCGCAAACGUCUCAAGUUCAAUUUACACAUUUCAACGGUGUUAGUUUAUGUUCUGUAAAGAGUCUGGCAUAUACAAAUUUAUCUUAUCAAGCAGACUGGUAAAGUUUGUACAUUGUCUAGACUUGAUUUCCUGAGAAAAUUUCUAUUAGAUUUGUGAUAGGAAAGAGCGGAGUGGGCGUGUUUUAAUUUCAGUUUAAAUUGUCUCAUAAAUCACUCCUGGUGGGAUUAGAACUAAUCUAAAUCGUUCGCCCUGUGUAACUUAUUGACGAAAUAAUAUUGUAAUUAAUUAAAUGACGCGCGACGGUAAAAGUCCAAAACUUCGAUCCGUGUACGAUUUCGACAAGAAGAAAUCUUGCAGGAGAGAUUACAUGCAGAAGGAGCAAUCAAGAGAUGGUUAGUUUUGAGUUUUAAUUAAAUUUCUUUUUUAUCAACAUCGGAGGAGAAACUGGAACUUCCCUUUCAAAAUGAUGCAAACUUCUCAAGAACCAUAAGACGUACCAAGAAGCAUGGCACAUCUCUGGAUAUAGUAUUGAGUACCUAUACCCUUUCCAUUUAGUAAAAACAUUUCCAAUAUUCCUAACCCCGAGAUGACGCAUCCCUAUACGUGGAUUAAAUUACCGAAUCUGAAAUUAGUUUUCAAAAAAAAAUUCCAUAAAGUCUUAACCGGAGAACCAAGUGAUCAGAAUUUCAGAACAUUUCAUGUGUAGGUUCUAUGGGCAUUUAAUAACAACAUUGUUUUUCAAAACGAUCUUUGAAACGAAAGUUAUGGAUUUUUCCUAUCUUAAUCAAAGUAGUGCGCAACUUUCGUUUCAAAAGUCGUAUUAAAUAAACUGUUCAAUGUUCAACAACUUUGUUUGGUCUGGGGCUACAUCAAAAAUGAGGUGUACAAGACGGCACCAACUACUGCCGAGGACACGAGGGAGUGAAUUCAUGCGCGCUGUUUAAAAAAUGGCAAACUUGGCCCUUGGGUUCGAAAAAGAGCAUUAUCUACAUAUUGGCGUUUCAACUUGUUUUUAUCUUAGUUUGUAUCAGUGGAAAUUUUGUUGUUUUUUAAAAUUAUGUGACAUUAGGGUAGGUCUUGACCUGUGCCUAAAUUCAAAACUU